rnacentral:hammerhead_ribozyme from 1 species
AUCCGGCUGACGAGUCUCAAACAGGACGAAAUGCUCGUCCUAGAC